GGCAGUUUGUAAUGGCGCUUCCAUUCUUCCUGACUUCUUCAGUCUAACCAAGAGUUUCUAGCCUUUUUGUCUAGGCUUGCGUUCUUCAUGCCAGAAAUUCAUUGUGCAAUUAGCCCCAUCAUUGGAUGAAGCUUCAAGUAUCUUUAUACACAGUUUUUCUGAUGCUGACAUGGUACAUUUAAAUGGAAAUGAAAAUGAUGAUGGCAUCAAAAUGGCAAGCUUUCGAUGCCCCUUCUUCUAUAUAGCAAUGACUCCGGAAGACAUUUAUCAAAUAAAAUAAGAUUCAUGCCUAUAACCCCAGCAUUUCAGAUUUGGAGGCAAGAGGAUCUCAGGAAUUCAAGGUCAUCCUUGGCUCUACAGAGAGUUCAAGGCCAGCCUAGACUAUAUGCUUCACCUCAAAGAAAACACAAAAGCAAGGCUUUCCUCGUGGCUCAGCAGAUAAGAGUGCACAGCAUGGAAACCCAAGUUCAAGUCCUCAGUACCCAUAACAUGACCAUUGCACCCAUGAACUUGCUGCUGCUAUGAUAACCUGCACAAGAUCAGGGCAGCAUGAUCAGUCAACAUUCUAACAGACAGCACUAAUUAGACUCAAUAUGAGGGGAGAGGAAGAGGGAGAGGGAGGAAGUGAAGAAGGAAGGGCUAUGUUGGGGAGGUCUCGGCAGCAUUGGAAGGGACUUAGGAGGGGUAUAAUUACAUUCAUUGUUUGCACUUGUCAAAGAAUAAAUAAAAAUGUUUUAAGAAAC
ensembl:lincRNA Gm43971 predicted gene, 43971